AGUGCAAGUGACGAUGAAAAGACAGGGACAUCAGAAAUUAGAAUGAUGACUAAUGUCUAAAUGGGAAUCUCUCUGAUGCACA
rnacentral:snoRNA from 3 species